rnacentral:lncRNA from 1 species
CCGGGCGCGCCUGACACUAAUAGCUCGCGGCUCAGGUACGAGCGGGCGCCGCGUUUGACUCCAUUCAAUUCACAACCGGCCGCGCUUGCAGGUGUCGCCUUUUGAAACUGCCAUUCAGGCAGCCGCUGUUCACUUCUCGCUGCGCUGCGGGUUUUGUGGAAGCGCAAGAAUGGCGCUGAUUAUUCCCGUGCCCACGGGCUGCCCCCACCCCCGCCGGACGCGAGCCUUCCCUCCGCCAAAAGAGAAGUUUAAUUAGUUCUGGGGCCGCCGACAGCCAGCGCGGCCGACAAAGCCCGGCUCCCCAGGUAACCCCGGGGUUCCUGCGGCCCCGGGAGGGGGCGCCCCGCGCCUGAGCACUGGCCUCUGGCCGUGCGCUGCCUCCCGCGCCGCCGCCGUCCGCCCACCUGCCCCCCGGGCCGGCUCUCCAGCUGGCCGAAGGCUCGCUCGGUGGACUUGAGUAGCCUUGGCCAGCGGCGCCCGCGGAUUCCGGACGCGAGCAGUUUUAGGGCGCCUGCGAUGUCUUCUCGCCUCUCUGUCCCCAUUACCAGCCGGGGAGAUGGAAACUUGGUUGGCAAGUCAGGUGGUCCUAACUGUCUUGCGAGGGGGUGUCCUCUCCAUGACAUGUCAUCCCCUCACCCCAUUUCGGGGAAAUAUCGGGACGAUGUUUUGAGGAAACACCAGAGACACUUUCCCCUUUAUCCACCUUUGCGUCUCAGCGCCACGUGCGCUAAAAGGGCGCAAAGUUGCCCUGGGAGAUGGCGAAUGGCUGCCUCGCCUCCACGGCCAGUGACCUUCGCAGCAGCGCCUCCGGCGCCCGAGCUGGCCCCGAAUACGCAGGUCUGCGGACAGCCUCGGCCUGGGUCGCAUACUCUAGUUCACCGGAGCCACAGGGAGGACAUGUGCCAAGGAGUGUCCAGCAUUGUGGAGCCACACGAAGGCGGGGCAAACGAUGGAGAACCUGGAGCCCCAGCCUUUAUGGCUGCUUUGCCGAGAAUCAAUUCUGGGCAGGAGACAGGGAUCUAGGCUCCAACCCUCCAGUCAUGGUUCUGAAAAGCCAAGGGUAGGCUCUAGAAAUGUUUUCUGGGAAAGCAAGGAGCAAAUAUUCAGAUCGGUGACCCCUGAGACAGACAGAGAGCUGAGAGAGACAGAGACGAUGGACACAAGGGCAGACAGACACAGCAAUGCCCCCAGCCCUUGCCAGACAUUCUCCUGAAACCGAGAAGCUUAAAGAUGGCCUGAGGCUUCUGGCAGCCCCAAAGGCAGUGUGGUAGGAGCCUUCUGGGCCUAGGAGGACAGGUGCCUCUGAGAGACUUGAAAACAAUCUCAAGGCUUCACCAGGAUCUGACGCUAAAAAAAAAGUCAAGCACCUCGCCACUGUCCAACCUUAGGGGCCAGAUGUUGUUUCAUACUGAGGCAGGAACAAGGUUAGUCUCUCUUGAGGACAGAGGAUAGAGCAGAGAAGAUUCGGGCUUAGCAGACGGUGGAGAAACUUUUGGCUCUGGGACCAGCCCUGUCCCUCUGCCCUAAAGUAUCUGAAACCUGUGUUCUUGUUUGAUUCCACACUCCCCCACUGCCUAGAGGACCCGGG